UUUAUUUUUUAGUUUUCGGCGGACACAACAUCUUUGUUUGUAUGUGGUGCUGAGGAUCGAACCCGGGCCGCACGCAUGCCAGCCGAGCACGCUACCGCUUGAGCCACAUCUCCAGCCCAAAAGAAGAACUUUAAAAAGAAAAAUAAUGACAGUUCUCAAAAAUCUGAACAUGACCUACCAUGUGCCAAGCAGUUCUCCUGGGGUAUACUCAAGAGAACUGGAAACAUGUCCACACAAAAUGUCGCCCAGACACUUGGAGCAGCAGCAUUCACAAUAGUCCACCAGCUGAUGGUCAGAGAGGGGACACAGUCCUGCCACACAGUAAAAAGGUCUCUGCCAUAGACGGGGAUGAAGCGCAGCUGCACACCGUGACCUGGUGGACCUGGAAAACCACAGGACAUAAAAGACCAAAGGGGUCCAAGGCCACUGAAAUGAUCCGAGCAGGCAGAGCCACAGCUACAGGAAGUGACCAGGGCCUCAGAGGUGGGGUCUCACUGUUAGAGUCCUGUGGGUGCUGGCUGUGGUGGCCUGUAGUACCAGCACUUGGGAGGCUGGGGGAGAAGGUGCUUGAGCCCAGGAAUCUGAGGCCUGCCUGGGCAGCACCACGAGAUGCCAUCUAAAAAAAACAAAGCACGUAAAUAAAGAAAGGCACAUGGUUUCUAUUUGGGUGAUAAAAAUGCUUUGAAAUUAGAUAGUGGUGGUGGUUGCUCAACCUUGUGAUUAUACUAAAGAUCACUGGAACUUACACUUUAAAGGGAUGAAUUUUAUGCUAUGUGGAUCACAUCUUGAGAGAGAGAGGUGCUUAGACAAGAAUGGGCUGGUUUGUGAGCGGGAAUGAAGGAAAAGGAGCCAGUCCCUAGCACAGAAGGUGGAGGAGACAGCUGCUCGCAACCCCAAGCAGAAAUGUCCCAGAUGACGGCUGCCUGUUGCAUUUCAGCCCUGAGCAAGGCCUACGGGUGGGGUGGCACACCCACAGUAAGUCUCUGCUGGAUUAGGAGGCACCUGGUUAAUCCUUUAAGAACCAAAAGGGCUCAAGGAAGGGACUGAAGGUCUACAGAGUGACUUAAGUGCUCACAGUUAAGUCAAGAAAAACAGCUCUGGUUGUACAACGCCGUAUCAAAUCUGCAGAGUCUGUUCAAAAAAGAUCCAAGGGCAUGGCCACUGGCACGCAGAGCUCUCAAAUCAGAUGGGUUGGAUGUCUGUCAGUCUUGUUGUUUCUUUAAAGCUUUUAUGGUGGAGGAUUGAAGCGUAUACGGAAGCAAAGAGCACAGGUGUGCCCCUUAGCAGGUUCGCUUUCCACAGCAUCAGUUGCCUCAGUCUACUGUGGUUUGAAAAUAUUAAAUGAAAAAUUCCAUAAAUAAGCAAUUCAUAAGUUUUAAAUUGUGUAACAUUCUGAGUAUUGUGAUGAGAUCUCAAGCCAUCCCCACACCCGGCCUGGGACAUGAGUCAUCCCUUGACCCACUGUAUCCAUGCUGUAUACACUAUCCACAUGCUAAGUCACUCAGCACAUGAUACUGGCAAUUUAGAGGUACCAAAGAGGAACCAUAAAGUACUUCCUUUAAUAAGAACUGAGAGAGGUGGGAGGGGGAGGGAGAGAGAGA
rnacentral:lncRNA from 1 species